UAUGUCUAUGGCAAGUCAACGGUACCCCAGU
rnacentral:piRNA from 1 species